GCCCCCAGCUCAGUGGAAGAGCAUUUGCUUUGCAGGCAAAAGGUCCCACGUUCGAUUCCUGACAUCUCCA